CCCCCUGCCCCCCGGCCGGCCCGGCCCCGCGCCCCACUCCUGCCGAGCCCUUUCGCUCGCUUCCCCCGCUCGGAACAAAGAUGCGCUCUCCGGGAGGUGAAGAAUGGCGGGUUCCGCGAAGGUGGCGCUUGCCGUGGCUCAGGUCAUAGUGAAGAUGAAGAGAAGUAAAUGAAUUCUCACACUCAGAGGUAAGAAGCGGAGUGAACAGGACUUGGCAAAAUGUGCAAUGUACUAGAGAAGACAGGAUCUAGAUUUUGAAGAUCUAAAUCUUCAUAAGAAGAUCUUGCAUGGGAAGCCGAAGAGAGGAAAGGGAGAUUGUGGGAGCUGCGUGUUCAGUAAAGACCUUGCCCUCCUUUGAGGAAAGAACAAAGUAGUCCUAUGCAUCAUAAAACAGGAACUGUACCUCCUCACACAUCCCUCAAGCACUGAGAUAAUGUCUGUAGCUGGCACCACGGAGUCUGCACAUGAUCAAGACAUGUUGCAGGCCACUGCGUUCCCUUUGCUGAGUAACUGCCCUAAACCCUUUUAAGAACCCCUGGGCAAGGCAGAAACCUUGCAGUUGGUUUUGGUACAAGACUGCCCUCUCCCCAGGUGGCUGGCCUCCUGAAUAAAGCU